rnacentral:rRNA from 1 species
GAGUGGGAGAGGUAGACGGUAUUCGGUAGGAAGGGGUAAAAUCCUUUGAUCUAUUGAGGACCACCUGUGGCGAAGGCGGUCUACCAGAACACGUUCGACGGUGAGGGAUGAAAGCUGGGGGAGCAAACCGGAUUAGAUACCCGGGUAGUCCCAGCUGUAAACGAUGCAGACUCGGUGAUGCGUUGGCUUGUGGCCAGUGCAGUGCCGCAGGGAAGCCGUUAAGUUUGCCGCCUGGGAAGUACGUACGCAAGUAUGAAACUUAAAGGAAUUGGCGGGGGAGCACCACAAGGGGUGAAGCCUGCGGUUCAAUUGGAGUCAACGCCAGAAAUCUUGCCCGAAGAGACAGCAGAAUGAAGGUCAAGCUGGAGACUUUACCAGACAAGCUGAGAAGUGGUGCAUGGCCGUCGCCAGCUCGUGCCGUGAGAUGUCCUGUUAAGUCAGGUAACGAGCGAGAUCCCUGCCUCUAGUUGCCACCAUUACUCUCAGGAGUAGUGGGGCGAAUUAGCGGGACCGCCGCAGUUAAUGCGGAGGAAGGAAGGAGCCACGGCAGGUCAGUAUGCCCUGAAACUUUGGGGCCACACGCGGGCUGCAAUGGUAGCGACAAUGGGUUCCGAAUCCGAAAGGAGGAGGCAAUCCUCAAACGCUACCACAGUUAUGAUUGAGGGCUGUAACUCGCCCUCAUGAAUAUGGAAUCCCUAGUAACUGCGUGUCAUUACCGCGCAGUGAAUACGUCCCUGCUCCUUGCACACACCGCCCGU